AGUGAACGCUGGCGGUAGGCCUAACACAUGCAAGUCGAACGGCAGCACAGUAAGAGCUUGCUCUUACGGGUGGCGAGUGGCGGACGGGUGAGGAAUACAUCGGAAUCUACUUUUUCGUGGGGGAUAACGUAGGGAAACUUACGCUAAUACCGCAUACGACCUACGGGUGAAAGCAGGGGAUCUUCGGACCUUGCGCGAUUGAAUGAGACGAUGUCGGAUUAGCUAGUUGGCGGGGUAAAGGCCCACCAAGGCGACGAUCCGUAGCUGGUCUGAGAGGAUGAUCAGCCACACUGGAACUGAGACACGGUCCAGACUCCUACGGGAGGCAGCAGUGGGGAAUAUUGGACAAUGGGCGCAAGCCUGAUCCAGCUAUACCGCGUGGGUGAAGAAGGCCUUCGGGUUGUAAAGCCCUUUUGUUGGGAAAGAAAAGCAGCAGGUUAAUACCCCGCUGUUCUGACGGUACCCAAAGAAUAAGCACCGGCUAACUUCGUG
rnacentral:rRNA from 1 species